AUAUAGGAUUUCAUCCGAAGUUUACGGGGUUUGGUGACCCCUCACUCGUAAACAUGGGUGCGCCUCUGAUUCGGGUUACUGGUUUUUUAUUUUUUUUUGUUGGCCAAAGUUAUCUGACUUAUCUCUAAAGAAGGGGUAACUUUGUCCUUUAAAUAUACAAACUGAGAGCGUUAUUUGUCCUAUAACUAUAAGUAUAAAAAACUGGAGCACAUUUAGUUCAAGUAACAGAAACCACCCAAAAACGCUGCUGAAACUAACAGAGAACUGGCACAUAAACGACAGGGUUUUGCAAUUGCUUUAUUUAUCGAGUAAACGGCAGAAAGUACUUCUAAUUAUACGUUACGGCAUUAUAGAUUGUAACAACAAAAAUCCAGCUUAAUUCCAUACGUAAGGUUUGAUGAUGGUAGU
rnacentral:lncRNA from 1 species